AAUAAUAAUAAAAAAAACUAAAAAACUAAAA
rnacentral:sRNA from 1 species